rnacentral:rRNA from 1 species
UACGAAGGGGGCUAGCGUUGUUCGGAAUUACUGGGCGUAAAGCGCGCGCAGGCGGUCUUCCAAGUCAGUGGUGAAAGCCCGGAGCUCAACUCCGGAACUGCCAUUGAAACUGUUAGACUUGAGGACGAGAGAGGUGAGUGGAAUUCCCAGUGUAGAGGUGAAAUUCGUAGAUAUUGGGAAAAACACCGGUGGCGAAGGCGGCUCACUGGCUCGUAUCUGACGCUCAGGCGCGACAGCGUGGGGAUCAAACAGG